rnacentral:rRNA from 1 species
GUAAGGGUAUGAUCCUGGCCCAGAAUGAGUGCUUGCAAGAGGCUUAAUACAUGCAAGUCGAACGCGCAUAAAGCGAGUGGCGAACGGGUGAGUAACGCGUAAGAAUCUACCUUCUAGAUAGCCAGAAAUAGGAAUAAAGGCCAAGUCCGCUAGAAGAUGAGCUUGCGUAAGAUUAGGUAGUUGGUGGAGUAAUGGUUCACCAAGCCAAAGAUCUUUAGCCGAUCUGAGAGGUUGAUCGGCCACACUGGGACUGAGACACGGCCCAGACUCAAUGAUAGAGGCAGCAGUAGGGAAUCUUAGACAAUGAGCGAAAGCUUGAUCUAGCUAUCUUGCGUGAAUGAUGCAAACCUUCGGGUAGUAAAAUUCUUUAGUUGAACAAAGGAUUAUGACAGAGUUCAGCCAAAAAGUCCCGGCUAACUUCGUGCCAGCAGCCGCGGUAAAACGGAGGGGACGAGUGCUAUUCGGAAUGACUGGGUGUAAAGCGUCCGCAGGUGGGCUUAUAAUUUCAAAGAUCCAUUCCAAAGAACUCCUUUGGGUUCUCUUUGAUAAGUAUAGGUCUUGAGUCAAAAAGAGGAAAGUGGAAUGUCAUGUGUAAGGAUUAAAUUUGCGAAUAUGUGAUGGAAGGCCGAAAGCGAAGGCAACUUUCUGGGUUUAGACUGACACUAAGGGACGAAAGCGUGGGUAGCAACAGGGAUUAGAUACCCCUCUAGUCCACGCUGUAAACGAUGAGUGUUCACUUUGGGUGCCAUGCAUCCGAGGUCAAGCAAACGCGUUAAACACUCCACCUGGGGAGUACGAUCGCAAGAUUGAAACUCAAGGGAAUUGACGGGGGCUUACACAAGUAGUGGAUCAUCUUAUUUAAUUCGAUAAUACGCGCAAAACCUUACCAACUCUUGACAUCUUUUUUUUCUUUUCCUUUGGAGGGAAAAGAUUAAUAAAAAGACAGGUGCUGCAUGGCUGUCGGCAGUUCGUGUUGUGAAAUGUUUGGUUAAAUCCUAUAACGAACGCAACCCCUUCGAAAUUUCUAAUUUGCUUUUUCGUAAUGCCCGUGAGAAGCGGGAGGAAGGAGGGGAUCACGUCAAGUCCUCAUGGCCCUCAUGAGUUGGGCUAUCAAGGUGAUACAAUGGCAACUACAAAGGGAUGCAAUGAUUCGAGUCGGAGCAAAUCCUAAAAAGUUGUCUUAGUCCGGAUUGGUCUCUGCAACUCGAGACCAUGAAGUUGGAAUUACUAGUAAUCGUGGAUCAGCACGCCACGGUGAAUCUGUUCUUAAGCUUUGUACACACCGCCCGUCACACCGGGGAAGUUGGGCUGAUCUAAAAAC